rnacentral:rRNA from 1 species
GACGAACCGUGCGAACGUUGUUCGGAAUCACUGGGCUUAAAGGGCGCGUAGGCGGGCCAGCAAGUCAGGGGUGAAAGCCCACGGCUCAACCGUGGAAGAGCCUUUGAUACUGCCGGCCUCGAGGGAGGUAGGGGCGUGCGGAACUUCCGGUGGAGCGGUGAAAUGCGUAGAUAUCGGAAGGAACAUCGGUGGCGAAAGCGGCGCGCUGGACCUCUUCUGACGCUGAGGCGCGAAAGCCAGGGGAGCGAACGGG